rnacentral:rRNA from 1 species
GACGAACGCUGGCGGCGUGCUUAACACAUGCAAGUCGAGCGGAAAGGCCCCUUCGGGGGUACUCGAGCGGCGAACGGGUGAGUAACACGUGAGUAAUCUGCCCUUCACUUUGGGAUAACCCCCGGAAACGGGAGCUAAUACCGGAUACGACCAUUCCCGGCAUCGGGUGGUGGUGGAAACUUUUUGGAUGGGGGAUGUGCUCGCGGCCUAUCAGCUUGUUGGUGGGGUAAUGGCCUACCAAGGCUUUGACGGGUAGCCGGCCUGAGAGGGUGACCGGCCACACUGGGACUGAGACACGGCCCAGACUCCUACGGGAGGCAGCAGUGGGGAAUAUUGGACAAUGGGCGGAAGCCUGAUCCAGCAACGCCGCGUGAGGGAUGACGGCCUUCGGGUUGUAAACCUCUUUCAGCACCGACGAAGCGCAAGUGACGGUAGGUGCAGAAGAAGGACCGGCCAACUACGUGCCAGCAGCCGCGGUAACAC